AUGCACCGAGAAGAACACAGGCACAAAAAUAUAUCGACUAGAAUUAACCAAUCACAAUACAAGACAAAGCAAAGAUUUUAUGGAGUCAUGAUACUCAGAUGCUUGGUCCUUCAUUUUUCUCCAGUUUUGAUAGAGUUUCAAGAGAAUCAGGAUUUCAAGGAACAAAGAGCAUGUAACAUUUGGCUUUCUAUGUAUAUAGUUGCAUUACAAAAUUUCCAUGUGGAUUUAAACCUUAAAGGUAGGAGUUUAUUCCACUCGUUAAAAGUUCAGUGUUCAAAAAAUUGCUGUACUACAUCAGCUACAGAUAUCAUUGUAACACUAACAUACAAUCCAUCAUCAUGCUGCUUGCUUUACACUGUUUGUACUUUUAAUUCACAACACAUGUCAUAA